rnacentral:rRNA from 1 species
GCCAGACUCCUACGGGAGGCAGCAGUGGGGAAUAUUGCACAAUGGGGGAAACCCUGAUGCAGCAACGCCGCGUGAGUGAAGAAGUAUUUCGGUAUGUAAAGCUCUAUCAGCAGGGAAGAAAAUGACGGUACCUGAGUAAGAAGCCCCGGCUAACUACGUGCCAGCAGCCGCGGUAAUACGUAGGGGGCAAGCGUUAUCCGGAUUUACUGGGUGUAAAGGGAGCGUAGACGGCGAUACAAGUCUGAAGUGAAAGCCCGGGGCUCAACCUUGGGAGUGCUUUUGAAACUGGGUAGCUAGAGUGCAGGAGAGGUAAGCGGAAUUCCUAGUGUAGCGGUGAAAUGCGUAGAUAUUAGGAGGAACACCAGUGGCGAAGGCGGCUUACUGGACUGUAACUGACGUUGAGGCUCGAAAGCGUGGGGAGCAAACAGGAUUAGAUACCCGUGUA